rnacentral:rRNA from 1 species
CACGUAAGCCUCGAGCGUUGUUCGGAAUUAUUGGGCGUAAAGGGCGUGUAGGCGGUCAUGCAAGUCUGAUGUGAAAGGCGGGGGCUCAACCCCUGGACUGCGUUGGAAACUGCGAGGCUUGAGUUACUGAGGAGCAGCCGGAAUUCCAGGUGUAGGGGUGAAAUCUGUAGAUAUCUGGAAGAACACCAAUGGCGAAGGCAGGCUGCUAGCAGAUAACUGACGCUGAGGCGCGAAGGUGCGGGGAGCAAAC